rnacentral:rRNA from 1 species
CACAAGCGGUGGAGCACGUGGUUUAAUUCGAUGCAACGCGAAGAACCUUACCUGGUCUUGACAUCCCGGAGACCCUUAGGAAACUAGGGGUGCUUCCAUCUGGAAGAAUCUGGAGACAGGUGCUGCAUGGCUGUCGUCAGCUCGUGUCGUGAGAUGUUGGGUUAAGUCCCGCAACGAGCGCAACCCUUGCCUUUAGUUGCCAGCAGUUCGGCUGGGCACUCUAAAGGGACUGCCGGUGUUAAACCGGAGGAAGGUGGGGAUGACGUCAAGUCCUCAUGGCCUUUAUGACCAGGGCUACACACGUACUACAAUGGCCGAUACAAAGGGCAGCGACACUGCGAGGUGAAGCCAAUCCCGUAAAAUCGGUCUCAGUCCGGAUUGGAGUCUGCAACUCGACUCCAUGAAGUUGGAAUCGCUAGUAAUCGUGGAUCAGCAUGCCACGGUGAAUACGUUCCCGGGCCUU